rnacentral:lncRNA from 1 species
AUGAUGUCAUUUCCUGUUCAACAAUGGCUUGAUCUUGAAUCUAUUGAAAGUUUGGGACUCACUGUACAGUACCUCAUCGAACUCAACAUGACCAGGGCCAUUAUUUCAUGGAUUCUGUUACUGCUUUGCAGUCAAGGAACAGUAGGUGCAGAUGAUGUUAUACAAAAGCCUAAGAUUCUUUGGGGACACAAGGAUAGUUCUGUUCAUAUGAACUGCACACACAAUAAGGGCUCAACAUACAGACUGAUGUACUGGUACAGACAGCGGCAAGGACAAACUAUGAGACUCAUAGCAUUCACAACCUCUUACACCGAACCAGAAUAUGAAGAUUCUGAGCUGAAUAAAUUUGUGGCCAAUAAAACGGUUGCUGAGAAUGGAUCUCUGACUGUUAACAAUUUGCAGCCAAAUGAUAGUGCCACAUAUUUCUGUUCAGUGAGUGAAUACACAGUGUAUCAAACUCAGGGGAGAGCUAAAAGUUUUAACUUAAGACCUACCCUAACCUAAAUAAGACAAAAAAUAAAAAAAAAAAAAAAAAAAAAAAAAAAUUAAAGACUGAUUGCAUAAGAGAUUAUAAAUGAAUGACAAUGAUUCAAUAUCACUGUCCACCUUCUGUAAAUCAAACGCAUGCACAGUCUGAGUUGCAUAUCAGUUCUGAUAUUUAUACACAACUCAUGUGCAGUUUAAAUCUUCGUUUCCCCAUUUUAUCCCUUUUUUUCUCCCAGGUUUUAUCAGUUAGGACCCAAUAUAGCUGACAUCACUUCCUCCUGCUGGUGUGUUUAAUUCAAAGCAGAAGCACUUGAUGAAAGAAACUAUGACAAACAUGUUCAAGAUGUUCACAGUAUCUGUGUUACUAAUGAUGUUUACAGGUAUUAAACAAAUAUACACUAACUAACAUCAUACAGAUUGUUUUAUUCUAAAUGUUAUGCACAUCUACUUUUUUCUUUUCUUCCACAGCUGUCUGUCUCGUUAAAACUGUUCUCCAGACACCUGAUGACCUCUUGAAGAAUCAAGAUGAAUCUGCUGUGAUCACUUGUUCUCAAAAUAUACAGAGCUAUGACCAAAUAUUAUGGUACAAAUAAAGUCAAGAUGUGUUAUGCUUCAAUAUAUAUAUGCUAUAUAUAUGUAUAUAGUAUAAACUAAUUAGAUAUGUUUUAAGUUCAAAACAAAUUGCUACUACAUCUAUGUGGUUUUUCAUAUGACUCAUCACUGCACUUCAAAUCCCACAGGUGUGAGUAGAAACACAAAUAUGCUUUUUACUGAAUCCAUCUCCCUCCAGUUUGAUCUUGUUUAAAUAUUCAGGCUCACUGGUUUCAACCUUACAAUAAAGGAUUCUGCAUAUAAGGUUAUAAACAUUAUUACAUUAUGGCCAAUAUAUUCAAAUAGUCUCCAUAAAAAGCAAUCAAAAAAAAAGAAAAAAAAAGAAAAACCUUAGAAAUUGUUUUAUUUUUAUUGUGCCUGACUCCCUGUCAAUAUUUCAGUUUGAGUUAUCAGUGAUAUUUCAUAAAUUCCAAGUGUUUUAAAGGCAGUAAAGGAGCACACACACACACACACACACACACACACACACACACACACACACACACACACACACACACACAAAAUUUCAAAUGUGCAAAGUGUAAACUCAAUCUUCUGCACAUAGAAAGAGCUUGUUCUACUGCAAAACUACACAUCAGACACUUUAGUUUGAGUGUAGAAUGUAUAAUCAACCUUUAGA